rnacentral:rRNA from 1 species
ACGAACGCUGGCGGCUUCUUAACACCUGCAAGUCGAACGGAGUGGCGAACGGGUGAGUAACGCGUGAGCAACCUGCCUAUGACAGUGGGAUAGCCUCGGGAAACCGGGAUUAAUACCGCAUAGUCAUAGAUGGGCUCGCGUCUGAUUAGCUAGUUGGUGAGAAAACAGCCCACCAAGGCGACGAUCAGUAGCCGGUUUGAGAGGAUGAACGGCCAAAUUGGAACUGAGACACGGUCCAACAUCCGACGGGAGGCAGCAGUGGGGAAUAGUGCACAAGGGGGGAAACCCCGAGGCAGCGACGCCGCGUGAACGAAGAAGGUAUUCGUAUCGUAAAGUUCUGUCCUAUGGGAAGCAGUACCAUAGAAGAAAGCUCCGGCUAAAUACGUGCCAGCAGCCGCGGUAAUUC